AACAAGCCAGUAACAGCACCUCUUCAUGGCCUCUGCAUCAGCUCCUGUCUCCAUUUCCCUGCCCAGUUUGUGUUCCUUUCCUGGCUUCCUUCAAUGGUGAACGCUAAUAUAGAAGCAAAAUCUUAGCCAAUAUACUCCAGGUGAUGGACCCACACUCAGUGAGUUGAGAUGCUUGCAGAUUUGGGGCCAUGGAGCCCUUCCACCCCAGAGAGCCCAGAGUAAGCCAAGAGGGUCCAUGGCACAGAAGGUUCCCCCACUGGAAGAAGAGAACCUUGGGUGUGAUGAACAUAAAAGGAAGACUCUCUUUCAGAAAUUUACCAUUGAAGGUUCAAGGAAGGAAAAAAACAUCAGCUAGGCUAUAAGUAAAAAGUUUUUGAUCCUGACCAUUGAAGUACCUGAGACUUGCAACAUUGUCACUUUUUCUACCAUGUUACCUCUUUGCUCAUGUCAUGUCCCCUGUGUCGGGCAGCUUUCAUAAAUAUCUCAAAUAUCUCAGUUGCAGCAAGGGUUCAUUUGGUCCCUCUAAGAUUAGAUUGACUUGGGUUUGAGUAAGCCUCUUCUGUGGGGUUACCAGCAUGGUAGACUAGUUGACCUAGAGGAUGGAGAUGCUUUCUGUCACUACCCUUGAGCAUGAACUUAGAUCAAGGACUCCAGGACCUCCAUCUCACGGAUGUCAAACAAAAAAAACAUGGUUUACCCUCCUGUCCUCAGAUUUUGCUCUUGCCAUCAAGGCACUGGGCUUUUGUUUUGUUUUUUCUUGGUUAUUAUGGUUUUGCAUUUUUUUCUAUUACAUCUAUAAUCCAGACAAUUAUCAGAGAACUCUCUGUGGCAUCUACAUAUCCCAAUCUCUUCCAUUCCAAUCUGUUGCCUACAGAGUAGGCCGCAAAACCAUUAUGAGAUUCAGAUUCAAGGACAGGGCAUCUAUAAAUGCAUUUUCCUGGCUUCAAAUCCCAUGUGAGAUGAUUACAAUUCUCCAUAGAGAGUGAGAUACUUUAUAAUCUGAAUUUGUUUCCACAUGGCCACAGGAGGCUCACACCGUUCUUCCUGUCUGUCUUCCCAAACAUCUCUAUUUUGUUUUCUAUGUCUUGACAAAAAC